rnacentral:miRNA from 14 species
UGUUUCACUAAUGAAACAACAACAGCAGCAGCAGCAGCAGCAGCAGAAGCAGCAGCAGCAGCAGAAGCAGCAGCAGAAGCAGCAGCAGA